GGGUAAACCAGGUUUUGUAGCCGUGUGGCGAGGAUGGGUCAUGAAGACUGAGGCACACGAAUGAAGAAAAAGGGAAAUAAAUGUUUGGGGGCGUAAUCCAGCCAUCCAAUCCAGACAGCCAGAUCCAUUGGAAACAAAUGACUUUCCAAUGAGCGCACAGCCUCGUUAAACCGCGUUGGAGUGGCGCCCUUCUCAGUGCUCCUGUGGACCAGCACUGUCAGCCCUCCUACCAUUGAUGAAUAAAGUGAWGGAAUGUCUCAAAUUAAGAAAUUAAAGGGUUUAAAAUGUCUUUAAUUGGUUGGGUGAAAAUCAAAACAYCAGUUGUACAGUGAUUCAAACACACAUCAACAUACAAUAAACCAAAUAUACAGCUGUCCUUUUA